rnacentral:rRNA from 1 species
GAUGAACGCUGGCGGCGUGCCUAAUACAUGCAAGUCGAGCGAACAGACGAGGAGCUUGCUCCUCUGACGUUAGCGGCGGACGGGUGAGUAACACGUGGAUAACCUACCUAUAAGACUGGGAUAACUUUGGGAAACCGGAGCUAAUACCGGAUAAUAUAUUGAACCGCAUGGUUCAAUAGUGAAAGACGGUUUUGCUGUCACUUAUAGAUGGAUCCGCGCCGCAUUAGCUAGUUGGUAAGGUAACGGCUUAUCAAGGCGACGAUGCGUAGCCGACCUGAGAGGGUGAUCGGCCACACUGGAACUGAGACACGGUCCAGACUCCUACGGGAGGCAGCAGUAGGGAAUCUUCCGCAAUGGGCGAAAGCCUGACGGAGCAACGCCGCGUGAGUGAUGAAGGUCUUCGGAUCGUAAAACUCUGUUAUUAGGGAAGAACAAAUGUGUAAGUAACUAUGCACGUCUUGACGGUACCUAAUCAGAAAGCCACGGCUAACUACGUG